rnacentral:rRNA from 1 species
UACGUAGGGUGCGAGCGUUGUCCGGAAUUAUUGGGCGUAAAGAGCUCGUAGGCGGCUUGUCGCGUCGGAUGUGAAAGCCCGGGGCUUAACUCCGGGUCUGCAUUCGAUACGGGCAGGCUAGAGUUCGGUAGGGGAGAGUCGGAAUUCCUGGUGUAGCGGUGAAAUGCGCAGAUAUCAGGAGGAACACCGGUGGCGAAGGCGGAUCUCUGGGCCGAUACUGACGCUGAGGAGCGAAAGCGUGGGGAGCGAACAGG